UUGAAUUACCAGCGCACACACAUUUGUAUCAUUAUUGUCACAAACUCUAAGGUGAUUUUCUUUCUUUUGGGUGUGGGGAUUCACGAUGUUAGGUGGCCAGACAAGCACAAACCUCUCAGGAGCCCUACCACGACAAGGCCAGAGAACACCCCGAUGACGGAAAGCAUCCAGAUGGAGGCCUCUACAACAAGGGACCCUCCUACUCGAGUUAUUCCGGGUACAUAAUGAUGCCAAAUAUGAAUAAUGACCCAUAUAUGUCAAAUGGAUCUCUUUCUCCACCCAUCCCGAGAACAUCAAAUAAAGUGCCCGUGGUGCAGCCAUCCCAUGCGGUCCAUCCUCUCACCCCCCUCAUCACUUACAGUGACGAGCACUUUUCUCCAGGAUCACACCCGUCACACAUCCCAUCAGAUGUCAACUCCAAACAAGGCAUGUCCAGACAUCCUCCAGCUCCUGAUAUCCCUACUUUUUAUCCCUUGUCUCCGGGUGGUGUUGGACAGAUCACCCCACCUCUUGGCUGGUUUUCCCAUCAUAUGAUUCCCGGUCCUCCUGGUCCCCACACAACUGGCAUCCCUCAUCCAGCUAUUGUAACACCUCAGGUCAAACAGGAACAUCCCCACACUGACAGUGACCUAAUGCACGUGAAGCCUCAGCAUGAACAGAGAAAGGAGCAGGAGCCAAAAAGACCUCACAUUAAGAAGCCUCUGAAUGCUUUUAUGUUAUACAUGAAAGAAAUGAGAGCGAAUGUCGUUGCUGAGUGUACUCUAAAAGAAAGUGCAGCUAUCAACCAGAUUCUCGGCAGAAGGUGGCAUGCCCUCUCCCGUGAAGAGCAGGCUAAAUAUUAUGAAUUAGCACGGAAAGAAAGACAGCUACAUAUGCAGCUUUAUCCAGGCUGGUCUGCAAGAGACAAUUAUGGUAAGAAAAAGAAGAGGAAGAGAGAGAAACUACAGGAAUCUACAUCAGGUACAGGUCCAAGAAUGACAGCUGCCUACAUCUGAAACAUGGUGGAAAACGAAGCUCAUUCCCAACGUGCAAAGCCAAGGCAGCGACCCCAGGACCUCUUCUGGAGAUGGAAGCUUGUUGAAAACCCAGACUGUCUCCACGGCCCGCCCAGUCGACCCCAAAGGAACACUGACAUCAAUUUUACCCUGAGGUCACUGCUAGAGAUGCUGAUCCAUAAAGACAAUCACUGCCAACCCCUCUUUUGUCUACUGCAAGAGCCAAGUUCCAAAAUAAAGCAUAAAAAGGUUUUUUAAAAGGAAAUGUAAAAGCACAUGAGAAUGCUAGCAGGCUGUGGGGCAGCUGAGCAGCUUUUCUCCCCUCAUAUCUGUGUGCACUUCCCAGAGCAUCUUGCAUCCAAACCUGUAACCUUUCGGCAA
rnacentral:sRNA from 1 species